GUAUGGAGCUUCAUCCCAGGGGCUGAAGUUGAAAAGACAAGUGUAAAAAGUAUUAUAGUGACAAUGUCACAUUGACAGAACAAAAUAAAAGCAUAUGAUUAUCAUAAUAGCCAGCUUAUCAUAAUCGCCAUCAGAGAUUCAAAAAUUCAAAUCAAUGAUUAUUCAUACAGGCAGCUUCAUCAUGUUUAUCAGAAUUAAUAUGAACAAUUUUCACAAAAUAUCUCAAAAAUUUCAUCAUAAUCAACGAAGUUCAAAUUAGGACAACGUGCUAAACCAUUAGACUAAAACAAUUGAAUUCUCAUAGUUGAAAUGCUGCACAUUUCAAAAUGAAGAGAAUUAAAAUAAUGACAAUGACAACUCAACAGAUAGCUAGAGUACCUUUCUGGUGCAGUAGAAAAAAUA
rnacentral:misc_RNA from 1 species